UGCGUAGGCGGACUAAUAAGUCAGUGGUGAAAUCUUUCGGCUCAACCGAGAAACUGCCAUUGAUACUGUUAGUCUUGAGUUCGGUUGAGGUAGGCGGAAUGUGUAAUGUAGCGGUGAAAAGCUUAGAUAUUACACAGAACACCAAUUGCGUAGGCAGCUUACUAGACCGACACUGACGCUGAGGCACGAAAGCGUGGGGAGCGAACAGGAUUAGAUACCCUGGUAGUCC
rnacentral:rRNA from 1 species